UAUGGUUGCUAGGGCUUAUUAGGGUUUCUAGAAGUCUCAGUAAUGGCCUAUAUAAGAGGAAUAUUGUUACCGAUACUGCAUCACAUCGAAGAGCUUCUUAGCAAUUGAAUCUGUAGUGAUAGCGUCAGAAUCGGCUUACUGUGAUGCGUUCUUUACAUGAGUUUCUCUUUGGUGAAAUGGUAUUUUGUUUCCAUUUUAUCUUUUUAAUUUUCAAGCUGUUGAGUUGAUGUCUGUUUAUUAUUUUGAUCUGACGGGGAUUUCACCGAGAAAUCCACUUGAGGAGCAAACGAUAAUUUUCAUGUUUGUAAGAUCCUAGAGCAAAACGUCAGAUAUUAAAUCUCUAGCGGCGUUGAGGCUUUUCUGUCUCCGCUGUUUGGGGAAGGUCUCAUAUUCCAUUGCCUUGUGUAGCGGCGUCGCCGCCAUUACAAUUUGGGACUGGCCAUGAGACAUAUAUUAGCAUUUUUUCAAACAAAAACUGUUUUAAGAAAAACAAAUUGUUGCAAAAGGAAUCCUGCCGAUGAGGAAAUCAUUUACCAAGUUAACCAUCUUUCGGGACUGAAUGGCUUCUAAAAAAAGCCUUGCUGUUAUUCUGCAAUUCUGAGGCACACUUCUUGUUCUAUAAAUUUCUUUUUGUUUUUCCUUUUUAAAACUUUUAUCUUCUGAAUUUGUUCUUCAUUAAUGUUUCGACUUCCGUGUUUCUUUUCCUUUGCAUAUAAAUUUGUUUUUCGAUGGCUUGUUUUGUAUUAAUUCUUGGCAAUACUCUUAAAAUCAAGAGCAACAAUAUGCAGCAUUGCAUCUGCAUCUGCAUCUGUAACGGUGUUGAACAAAUGAAUACAGUUGAUACUGAGGUCCCUACUGAGAAUUCGCUUCUUUUUCGGACAAAAUGUUCUUGAGUUUGAUACUCGUGUGCAACUCGAUCAAUGAUAUGAAUGCCCAUAUGGUUGGUUUUGCCCAGAUGAUGUUUGAUGGAAUGCUUGAUAGAGAAUGAUUUUCUAGACAUUGUAUAUGUAUAAGAUCGGAGGAUGCUAUAGACGUCUUUUAACCGUGUGCACGAAGGGAAUGUUUUUAGUACCUGAUAUAGGCAUGCCUGUGAGUACUCUUUCUCCUACUAAAGCUUUGAAAUGGUAAAUUCAAAUUCCUAUUAAUGGAGGUGCAUUGUUGGACAUGUCCCGAGAAAAAUUUUAACUAGAUGCCUUCAAAAAGUGCAUGUAAGCUAUGAUUGUUUGCUAAUGCAAACUUUGGUGACCUUGAAGUAGCUAAAUAAUUGUUUGAGAGUAGUCCCACUCUUUUGAGAAUGCAAAUCUGAAAAGCUAAACCAGACAAGGUCAUAAAAGUUGUAUAGAGGGGGUAUGUAAUGCCUGAACUAGUUUUAGAAAUUAAAAAAUAUGCUCCAAUUCUUCACUAAAGAGAUGAGCCAGUCAGGCUCAUUUGUUUCCUGAUUCCUGUUUUAAACAUUUUGCAUUCUAUAAAAGAAACUUUAGAAGGACAAGUAACGUUUGAAUCAAGGACAACGGUAAUCUCCAAUGUGAUCUUACAGUAAUGAGGUCAGAAAUAUCCAGUGGCCAGCGGUAAUCUUGGUUGUUUGUUUUCUAUUUCAAUCUUCAAUUCGAAGCAGUCAAAAACAAAUAGAAGUUCCUCUAAUUUCUCUCAUUGUAUCCGUAUUCUAGUGCUGAACUUGAGCUUAAAGCUGUUGGAACUGGCCGUCUGAAUUCUUGCUUACCCAAAGCCACAUUGCUACAUGAUGCGGCCUUUAAGCCUCCGUUAUUUACUGACGGCCCUGAUACAUGCCUUUAAGCCUCCGUUCUUUUUGAUAUUGAAUCUCAUUACCCUCCUGAUCUCAUUGCUCUCCUGAUCUCAUCGCUAUUAUUUCUGCCAAGUUUAAGAGUUUUAUUGAGGCUAAGAGUUGCAAUGGAAUUCCUUCUGGUGGCGGCAAUGUGCAUGUUGACAGGUUACUGGGCUGUCUCAGUCUUCUGAAUGGUUGGGCAAAAAAUCAACACAGAUGGUGCAAUGUAAGGUAAUGUUAGAGCUGGGGCAGGUGGUCUUAUUCGAACCUGUAGUGGCGUAUGGUACUCGGGUUUUGCUGCCAAUCUGAGUAUUUGUAGUGUUUUUACUGCGGAAUGCUGGGGAGUGCUUUAUGGCUUAUGUCUUGCUUGGCAACGAGGUUUUAGAUGUGUGAUUCUUGUGUGGGAUAUGUGCUUGAUUAACAUGCUGAAGAAGAAAGUUGUCCCUCCUAUGCGGUUUUGGGGUAUAUUCCUGGACAUUUUAAAAAUGCUUGAGCUGCAAUGGGAAGUCCGUAUUAACCAUGUACGGGGAAGCGAAUCAUUCUGCUGAUUGGAUGGCAAACCUGAGUUUUGAUUUAUCUCCAGGUUGCCAUCUUGUUGAUCAUCCUCCGUCCGGGUUGCAAGAUUUGUUAUUUCGUGAAUGAAUUUUUCCAUUAUUGUUCACUAAUAAUAGUAGAAUUGUUGGCACAGAGUCAAAAAAAAAAAAGAUUAUGUUCAAUAUAGUGAUGAAAAAAAAUCCAAAAAUCUAAUUAAUUCAAAGAAGUUCUUAUCUUAUUCUUAUAAGAUUGAUAGUAGAAUCGAAAAAUGUUUAGUAAAAUUUUUAGUACAAACAAAAUAGCCAGCAAUACCCUGGGAAGUAUAGUAUCAAGAACCCUUUUCUUUCGCGUACUUCUGUUGGGAGCAAAUUUGAUAAAUUAUAUCAGCAAAAAAAGAGAAUAAAAUAUUUUGCGUUUUUUGUUGAUCAGGCUGUCGGCAUUUGCUUUCCUCGUGUAAUAUGAAUGUUUCUUAGGCUUGUUGCCUCCUUGAUUCAAAAAAUUGAUUAGAAGUUAUUGCAGCAGCAGUUUACAAAGAUGGUUGGUUGGCGCCACAAAGAAAGACAUGAGCAGCAGCAGCAGCAAGUGAUCCUUGUUUUAUUUAAUAUUUUUCAGUAAUACUGAAUCAAAUAGUAAUAAAAUUGGUUGUGCACAAAAUUAGGCUUUUGCUUCAGUAACCGGAGAUUCAAAAGUAAACAUUUCAAUCAGCUAAAAGGGAAAGAAGGUGGAACUGGAGUAUGAAAUGAAAGAGUCUCUGACAAGUGUGCCUUCAUCUUAUAACUAUCUGACUCUCAAGCUCUGCUUCUUAUUUACUAUAAUCUUUUUGUAAUUUACUCGAUCAAAUAGAUCUGUUCAUUGCUGCGAUCCGUGUGACAUGAUUGAAACCCAUCUUGCUUGUAGUUGGUAGCUCCAUUGGAGGUUUUAAACUGCAAUGAACAGUUCCUAGCUGAAACGGGCCAUGAUCUUCUAACCUGGUAGCUCUGGUCAUAAACCAACAAUGUACUAGUCAAUCUUCUGUUUAAGGUCGGAGGAGCCUAUACACGUCUUUUUCCCGUAUUCACGAAGGGAAUGUUUUAAUACCUGAUAUAGUCACGGUUGUGAGUACUUUUACGGCUAGUACAGCUUUGAAAAUCCAAACUGUGGGGAGCUAGAAGAAGCUAGAUAGUUGUUUGAGAAGAGUCCAGUUUGGAUUGACGUUAUUUGAUGAGGUAGCCGCACUCUUCGGGGAAUGCAAAUCUGAAAAACUAAACCAGAUAAGUUUACAAGAAACUGGAUUGAGAGGGUAUACAAUGCCUGAAUUUAAUCAAUUUAAAAAUGAAAUAAUACUUGAAAAUUUAAAAAUUCUCUAAAGAGUUGGUCCUGGUUAGUCAGCAUCAACUGUGGCUGCCGUUUCUCAGGUCUAUGCCAACUUAAUUUAGCAAGGAAGGCCAUUUUCAUACCAGGAGCUCGAUAUUCUGUGUGCUAGGUUUCAAGGAAAUAAACAACUUCAUGGAGCUAGAUAUUCUGUAAAAGCUAAUUGUUUUGUCUGGAGGAAUAUUAAGGAGGGAAAAGUGAUAGUGCAGCAAGGGAAGAUCAUUGAGGUGAGAAAUGGAAGAGCAACUCAGUUUUGGAUGGACACUUGGCUAAUCGAUGGCCCUAUUUUAUCUGAAUGUUCGGCUAUAGUUCCAUUUGGAUUUUGGGACAAGGAUGGGACUCGAAUAAAUUGAACAAUUGGCUACCUGAUUUGGUGAGCCAAAAGCCGGCUGCUUUUAUUGUUUGUGAAGAUGAUCAAUCGUACGAUGUGGAACUCUGGAAGCCCUCAGUCUGGACAAUCUUGUGUGGACAGCACCGGUUUCCCAGAGAAUUUGGGUUUUCUUAUGGCAAGUUGCUUACGGCAAAAUUAUGGAGAAUGAAGAGAGAGCUAAGAGAGGUUUUUCUUCCACUCCCUUUAGUCUUUCCUCCCAGGUAAAUUUGAAUUGCCUGCACAUAUUCCGAGAGACUGUCCUUAUGCCUUGCAGGUCUGUUCAUUCCUAGGCGCAAGCUUAUUAGAGAAUUGUCUAAGAAUAUGCGUGCCCGGCUUGUGGAUAAUUUGUCUAAUAGGUUUCAGGAGAGCUAUGAUGGAGUUCGGUGUACUCUCUUUGGAGCAGUGCUCAGGUGGUUAUGGAGGUGGAGAAAUGGAAGGGUGCUCGAUAAUACAGAUUUGGAGGUACAUCGAAACAAAUAAAAUAAGCUUGGGCCAUCUGCUGGAAUUCUUGUGUCACUAAAUUAGUUGGCUGGUCUCUACCUUCUUACUCCUGGAUUUAAGUUUAAUAUAGAUGAUUGUGCGAAAGGGAUUCCGGGUAGAGCUGGUGCCGGGGGUUUAAUAUGUGACAGAUAUGUUGGCACCUGUACAACUAUUGAGGCGGAGCUAGGGGCAGUGAUUAAAGGUGUGAUAGUCGCUCAUAAUAAGGGAGUUCAAAGCUCCAUGGUUGAAGUUGAUUGCCAGGUGGUAGUCUCGUGGUAGUCUAUGCAUAUAGUUCAUGAUGGGCGAUUUCUCAAUUUAGUUCAGGUGUCGUUUGUUAACGAAAUCCUUUCAGGGAGUGCAAAUACUGCAUGUGUGUCACGAAGGAAAUCCUUGCUAAUAAAGCGUUGAGACAGAGCGUGUGGUUCAACUCAGGCAUCCUCCAGAAUGUUUUAGGUGUUUCUUUGCCAAGGCUUGUAAUUGCUUGGUUUGUUGUUUCGGGCAUUCCCCUCUUCUGUAAGCCAAAAAAAAAAAGGAUGGGUUCCUGGUUCCUAUUUUAAACAUUUUGCAUUUUAUCAAGAAAUCUUACAAGGA